ACGUACACUCCUGCGGGAGGCAGCAGUGGGGAAUAUUGCACAAUGGGCGCAAGCCUGAUGCAGCCAUGCCGCGUGUAUGAAGAAGGCCUUCGGGUUGUAAAGUACUUUCAGCGGGGAGGAAGGCAAUACGGUUAAUAACCGUGUUGAUUGACGUUACCCGCAGAAGAAGCACCGGCUAACUCCGUGCCAGCAGCCGCGGUAAUACGGAGGGUGCAAGCGUUAAUCGGAAUUACUGGGCGUAAAGCGCACGCAGGCGGUCUGUCAAGUCGGAUGUGAAAUCCCCGGGCUCAACCUGGGAACUGCAUUCGAAACUGGCAGGCUUGAGUCUUGUAGAGGGGGGUAGAAUUCCAGGUGUAGCGGUGAAAUGCGUAGAGAUCUGGAGGAAUACCGGUGGCGAAGGCGGCCCCCUGGACAAAGACUGACGCUCAGGUGCGAAAGCGUGGGGAGCAAACAGGAUUAGAAACCCCGGUAGUCCC
rnacentral:rRNA from 1 species